CCUACGGGAGGCAGCAGUGGGGAAUAUUGCUCAAUGGGCGAAACCCUGAAGCAGCAACGCCGCGUGGAGGAUGAAGGUUUUCGGAUUGUAAACUCCUUUUGUUAGAGAAGAUAAUUCCGGUAUCUAACGAAUAAGCACCGGAUAACUCCGUGACAGCAGCCGCGGUAAUACGGAGGGUGCGAGCGUUACUCGGAAUCACUGGGCGUAAAGAGCGCGUAGGCGGGAUAGCAAGUCAGAUGUGAAAUCCUAUGGCUUAACCAUAGAACUGCAUUUGAAACUGGUAUUCUAGAGUAUGGGAGAGGUAGGUGGAAUUCGUGGUGUAGGGGUAAAAUCCGUAGAGAUCAAGAGGAAUACUCAUUGCGAAGGCGACCUGCUAGAACAUAACUGACGCUGAUGCGCGAAAGCGUGGGUAGCAAACAGGAUUAGAUACCCGUGUAGUC
rnacentral:rRNA from 1 species